CACGCCGUAAACGAUGUCUACUUGGAGGUUGUGGCCUUGAGCCGUGGCUUUCGGAGCUAACGCGUUAAGUAGACCGCCUGGGGAGUACGGUCGCAAGAUUAAAACUCAAAUGAAUUGACGGGGGCCCGCACAAGCGGUGGAGCAUGUGGUUUAAUUCGAUGCAACGCGAAGAACCUUACCUACUCUUGACAUCCAGAGAACUUUCCAGAGAUGGAUUGGUGCCUUCGGGAACUCUGAGACAGGUGCUGCAUGGCUGUCGUCAGCUCGUGUUGUGAAAUGUUGGGUUAAGUCCCGCAACGAGCGCAACCCUUAUCCUUGUUUGCCAGCACUUCGGGUGGGAACUCCAGGGAGACUGCCGGUGAUAAACCGGAGGAAGGUGGGGACGACGUCAAGUCAUCAUGGCCCUUACGAGUAGGGCUACACACGUGCUACAAUGGCGCAUACAGAGGGCGGCCAACUUGCGAGAGUGAGCGAAUCCCAAAAAGUGCGUCGUAGUCCGGAUCGGAGUCUGCAACUCGACUCCGUGAAGUCGGAAUCGCUUAGUAAUUCGUGG
rnacentral:rRNA from 1 species